rnacentral:sRNA from 1 species
CAAAUAACAUUAAACCAAAAAAAAA